rnacentral:piRNA from 1 species
UGCACAUGCCAGGGAAGCCCUCUACCAAC